rnacentral:rRNA from 1 species
CCUACGGGAGGCAGCAGUGGGGAAUAUUGGGCAAUGGGCGCAAGCCUGACCCAGCAACGCCGCGUGAAGGAAGAAGGCUUUCGGGUUGUAAACUUCUUUUAACAGGGAAGAGCAGAACACUGUACCUCUUCAAUAACCCACGGCUAACCACGCGCCAGCAGCCGCGGUAAGAUGUAGGGGGCAAGCGUUGUCCGGAUUUACUGGGUGUAAAGGGCGUGCAGCCGGGAAGACAUGUCAGAUGUGAAAUCCCGCGGCUCAACCGCGGAACUGCAUUUGAAACUGUAUGGCUGGAGUACCGGAGAGGUCAUCGGAAUUCCUUGUGUAGCGGUGAAAUGCGUAGAUAUAAGGAAGAACACCAGUGGCGAAGGCGGAUGACUGGACGGCAACUGACGGUGAGGCGCGAAAGCGUGGGGAGCAAACAGGAUUAGAUACCCGAGUAGUC